AUUCUAAGAAGGACUGUUUUAUGUAAAUACCAUGUGGCCGUUUUCUUUUGAUUAAUAAGUUCAUGUUAACCUUGUGAACCAAUGACUAAACAGCACUUGUAUAAAAGCAAAGCUGAUGAGAUUUUAUUCGAAACGGUGUGAGUUUGUUGAUUCUCAAAAAUGUCAUUACUUCUACGGUUGACGCUUCUAUUUGUUAUUUGUUCUGUUAUCAUGGAAAACGCAAACGGGGCAUGUUGUCGUCGUAAACGCGGAGGACGUUGCGGCGACUGCACUAAACCAACACCUUGCUGUGGAUAUAAAAGAUGUAACAUAUUUUGUUGUGGAUGCAAUUGUCGUAAGGGGGGAUGCGGCGGCAGACGAAAACGUCAAUUGUCACAUGAUACUACCGAUAGGUCUACAUAUAUGACGUUUAUUGGCCUAGAUAUCAACAAAAAUGGGAUGAUGGAACAGUUUGAGUUCAGCAAAGCCUUAGAACAGAUGCACAUAACGGACAACACGACCGUGUUUCACCAUUGGUCAAUCAUGGACGAAGAUAAAGAUGGACUUAUCACUAUAGAAGAAUUUGAUCGAGAAAAAUUAUAGAUGGCCCAGAACAUAUUUCUUUUUGUAACUAAAAGUGAAGACUGAACAGUAAAAAUACGUUCAAUUUGAAAUUAAAUUAAACAGAUAUCGCAUAA